CCUACGGGAGGCAGCAGUGGGGAAUAUUGCGCAAUGGGCGAAAGCCUGACGCAGCGACGCCGCGUGAGGGAUGAAGGUCUUCGGAUCGUAAACCUCAGUCAGCAGGGAAGAACGGUCACUGUGCUAAUCAGCAGUGAAUUGACGGUACCUGCAAAGGAAGCACCGGCUAACUCCGUGCAAGCAGCUGCGGUAAUACGGAGGGUGCGAGCGUUACUCGGAAUUAAUGGGCGUACAGCGCUCGUAGGCGGUAUUUCAAGGCAAGGGUGAAAUCCCCGCGCUCAACGUGGGAACUGCCUGUGAAACUGGCAAACUGGAGUGUGUGAGAGGAUAGUGGAAUUCCAGGUGUAGGAGUGAAAUCCGUAGAUAUCUGGAGGAACAUCAGUGGCGAAGGCGACUAUCUGGCACAUAACUGACGCUGAGGAGCGAAAGCGUGGGUAGCAAACAGGAUUAGAUACCCGAGUAGUC
rnacentral:rRNA from 1 species